GAUGAACGCUAGCUACAGGCUUAACACAUGCAAGUCGAGGGGUAACGAGAGGGAAGCUUGCUUUCCUUGUCGACGACCGGCGCACGGGUGAGUAACGCGUAUCCAACCUGCCCCCAACUAGGGAAUAACCUUGCGAAAGUAAGACUAAUACCCUAUAAUUUCCUCAGAUGACAUCUGACGAGGAAUAAAGAUUUAUCGGUUGUGGAUGGGGAUGCGUCUGAUUAGCUUGUUGGCGGGGUAACGGCCCACCAAGGCAACGAUCAGUAGGGGUUCUGAGAGGAAGGUCCCCCACAUUGGAACUGAGACACGGUCCAAACUCCUACGGGAGGCAGCAGUGAGGAAUAUUGGUCAAUGGGCGGAAGCCCGAACCAGCCAAGUAGCGUGCAGGAUGACGGCCCUAUGGGUUGUAAACUGCUUUUAUACAGGAAUAAAGUUAGCCACGUGUGGUUAUUUGUAGGUACUGUAUGAAUAAGGACCGGCUAAUUCCGUGCCAGCCGCCGCAGUAA
rnacentral:rRNA from 1 species